UAGGGACAUAUUUAAAUAUAAAAUGAAAAUUCUAUUGUUAUACUAAAUUGAUGAAAAUAUAAGGUAGUUGAGUUAGGGACAUAUAUGAAAAUAAAAUGAAAACUCUAUUAUUUUACUAAAUUAUUAAAAAAGUAAGGGGUGUAAAUCAUUUUUUCUAAACUAGACCGGGCUACGGCCCGGUCUAGCCCACGUGCAGGUCCGCCACUGGCUGUUGUUUACUUGUCGUACUCAAAUGCGUUAAGAGAAAGAAAGCUAAAGUAUACACGCAAUAAUUCUAUUACGAUGGCAAAACGCCGAAAGUAAAAGCAACUACAAAGGUGGUCUCCCGAGUUUAAAAUCAUGAUAAAGAAUCAAGCAUGAAGAAAUCCAGCUUCUAAGCUAUAACUAUGCAUGCAUUUACAUGUGAACGUAGAGCUAGCAAUUGCAAUCUACACAUUUCCUUCGCAAUUCCAACUGGAGGUGGGAACGCAGCUCAUGUAGUGACACCAUCUGCAACGAUCAUUACCAUUCUCUCCCCGGAAGAGCAUCACCAGUGCAACUGUUAAUCUGCAAUUAAGCCAGAAUAAUAAUUAAACCACUCAGUAGUCAGUACCCGGAACUUUAAAAUGGCUUCGUUCGCAACCUUUCUCUUGCAGAUAUCAUCUUCCAAUACCAAAUGAUUAAAAAUAAUUUUACACGGGGUCUCUACAUUCUGAUUGCCAAGAACUGGGAGUCGGGACAAUGAAUUCAUGGCCCACAACUUCUAUAACGAGGCAUUAUGAGAUACAAUUAUGUUCCCCUUUUCCUCAGCAAUCAUAAUCUGCCUAGGACCCCGGCAAACCACUUCAGAAUUUCAUAAAAUCAUUACUUAUAUAUAAUUUGUAUUGUGCUGUUGGUAUUCAGAUGAUGCUUUCUCCUAUGAAAAUGCAAUUAUUAGGAGUCACUCACCCUGCAAUUAGUAGAACCAGAGAGACCAGCCAUAACACGUAUUGAUGUGUCUUAUACUUGGAUUUUAUGGCGGCACUUCCAGGAAGGUUCCUGCCAUCAAGCCAUCCGUACCGAGGACGGGGCAACAAGACAAAACCAAGGAAGAACCCAGUGAGAAAUCCACCAAUGUGAGCGAAAUUAUCAACAUGCGGCAGAAUUCCUAUAGCGAGAUUAAUUGCAAUGAUGACCAAAAGAGUAAUCAAGGCUGCAGCCUACAAAACAACAUCAUCUAAAGGAGUAAGCAUGAAAAACUGUGUAUCCCAACCUACAGCACAAGAACUAGCAAUAAUAGUAGUAUAAGCAAAGUAAAAUGUGCAGACAACAGCUGGCCUCACUCACCUUGUUGGUAUAAAGACUCCAGUUAGUAAGUAGUUCUGAAAGCAUUGCUCCCAGAAGCCCAAAAAGUGCACCGGAGGCACCAACAGAGAUGCUGUUUCGAAUAAAUAGGCAGGAAAGAACACUCCCACCGAAUCCAGAUAACAGGUAAAUAACUCCAAUCCGCACUGUCCCAUCGUAACAAGAGACGUCAAAUAGACUAAAUUAAGCUCAAAAAUUAAAAACUGCUGUACCGUACAUCCGCCUUGGCCGUACAGCAGCUAAAUUACUCGACUUAAUAAAUUAAAUAAUUAAAAUUUAUUCAUCCUUUCAAAUUGUAAAAGUAUUUUUAGUCAAAAGUUUCAAUAAAUAAACUAAACUCAAUUCAGCAAAAAGAUAUUUGGGUACAGUUGUUUCUUUGUCAGAUACUCUAUCUUUCUUUAAAGAACUAGAAGUUGGUGAUUCUUCUAUUAAAAGCUCUUAAAAUAUCCAAAUUUUAUUUUCUAACUUGUUCUCUUAGUUAAUAUAACUAAUAAAUAAAAUCUGAAAAUUCACAUUAAAAUUUUAUGAAAAUAUUGAUAAUUGCUAAUAUAUCUUAUUUAUGUAAGUAUUUUUAAGUCUAGUGAUGAUGUUAUAUUAUAUUGACAUAUAUAUUUUUUAAUUAGAAGCUUUUUAAAAUAAAUUAAGGCAGCAAUAAAAUUUUAACACCCUAAUGUUUUCAAUCUAUUCAAUAAAUAUAUAAGUUAAUCAUUUUAUAAAAUAAGUCACUAAUUUCAAUUGAAAAUAAUAUAAUUGACUUAGGGACAUAUUUAUAAAUAAAAUAAAAACUUUAUUAUUAUAUAAAAUUAAUGAAAAUAUAUGGGUAAUUGAGUUAGGGACAUAUUUAAAUAUAAAAUGAAAAUUCUAUUGUUAUACUAAAUUGAUGAAAAUAUAAACAUAUAUAUUUUUUAAUUAGAAGCUUUUUAAAAUAAAUUAAGGCAGCAAUAAAAUUUUAACACCCUAAUGUUUUCAAUCUAUUCAAUAAAUAUAUAAGUUAAUCAUUUUAUAAAAUAAGUCACUAAUUUCAAUUGAAAAUAAUAUAAUUGACUUAGGGACAUAUUUAUAAAUAAAAUAAAAACUUUAUUAUUAUAUAAAAUUAAUGAAAAUAUAUGGGUAAUUGAGUUAGGGACAUAUUUAAAUAUAAAAUGAAAAUUCUAUUGUUAUACUAAAUUGAUGAAAAUAUAAGGUAGUUGAGUUAGGGACAUAUAUGAAAAUAAAAUGAAAACUCUAUUAUUUUACUAAAUUAUUAAAAAAGUAAGGGGUGUAAAUCAUUUUUUCUAAACUAGACCGGGCUACGGCCCGGUCUAGCCCACGUGCAGGUCCGCCACUGGCUGUUGUUUACUUGUCGUACUCAAAUGCGUUAAGAGAAAGAAAGCUAAAGUAUACACGCAAUAAUUCUAUUACGAUGGCAAAACGCCGAAAGUAAAAGCAACUACAAAGGUGGUCUCCCGAGUUUAAAAUCAUGAUAAAGAAUCAAGCAUGAAGAAAUCCAGCUUCUAAGCUAUAACUAUGCAUGCAUUUACAUGUGAACGUAGAGCUAGCAAUUGCAAUCUACACAUUUCCUUCGCAAUUCCAACUGGAGGUGGGAACGCAGCUCAUGUAGUGACACCAUCUGCAACGAUCAUUACCAUUCUCUCCCCGGAAGAGCAUCACCAGUGCAACUGUUAAUCUGCAAUUAAGCCAGAAUAAUAAUUAAACCACUCAGUAGUCAGUACCCGGAACUUUAAAAUGGCUUCGUUCGCAACCUUUCUCUUGCAGAUAUCAUCUUCCAAUACCAAAUGAUUAAAAAUAAUUUUACACGGGGUCUCUACAUUCUGAUUGCCAAGAACUGGGAGUCGGGACAAUGAAUUCAUGGCCCACAACUUCUAUAACGAGGCAUUAUGAGAUACAAUUAUGUUCCCCUUUUCCUCAGCAAUCAUAAUCUGCCUAGGACCCCGGCAAACCACUUCAGAAUUUCAUAAAAUCAUUACUUAUAUAUAAUUUGUAUUGUGCUGUUGGUAUUCAGAUGAUGCUUUCUCCUAUGAAAAUGCAAUUAUUAGGAGUCACUCACCCUGCAAUUAGUAGAACCAGAGAGACCAGCCAUAACACGUAUUGAUGUGUCUUAUACUUGGAUUUUAUGGCGGCACUUCCAGGAAGGUUCCUGCCAUCAAGCCAUCCGUACCGAGGACGGGGCAACAAGACAAAACCAAGGAAGAACCCAGUGAGAAAUCCACCAAUGUGAGCGAAAUUAUCAACAUGCGGCAGAAUUCCUAUAGCGAGAUUAAUUGCAAUGAUGACCAAAAGAGUAAUCAAGGCUGCAGCCUACAAAACAACAUCAUCUAAAGGAGUAAGCAUGAAAAACUGUGUAUCCCAACCUACAGCACAAGAACUAGCAAUAAUAGUAGUAUAAGCAAAGUAAAAUGUGCAGACAACAGCUGGC
rnacentral:lncRNA from 1 species